rnacentral:lncRNA from 1 species
UCAUAACGUAGAAUCUAAAUAGUCACCAGUCCUUCUAGACUAGUGUGCGGCCUCCCACAACUACAGCUAGUCUGAUGGACGAUCCAGCUACCAUUUCUAUAAUAAAUAAAUAAUAAAAUUAAAUUAAUUAAAAUAUGCAUAUAAAAGUUUUUAUAGUUCUAACAAAGAAUUUUGGUAUAAAUUUCUUACCAAUCUGUCAGCCACAAUAUAUGUGUCGAUCAAGCUGCCCGUGUGCCUGAUCAGAUCCUGCUGGGUGGCUCAAUUCUGCAAGACCCUCUGCCACCUAUCGGAGUACUCCUCGCUGCUCCAUUAGUCGUAGAGGACCUGCCAUAUAUCCAUCCACAUCCAGUGAUCUGUGAAGGAUGUCCAGUUUGAUGGUGACUGAGAAUUGAUGUGCUGGAUGGCGGACUGCCUGAGACUGUAGAGGUCAUCUCAGAACCUCCAUGUGGCCACCUCCUCGAAGGUCUAAUGGCCAACCUCCUCAUCUUGAAAAGUCUCGA